AUGCUGCAAGCUCUCAAGUUGCCCCCUGCGACUUACCAUCACAAGACAUAUCUAGGCAAUGAGUCUCGUGUGACGGUUACUUUCAAUUCAUCGUUGCACUUGAUCGAUGGUUUGCUUGUUCCAACCUCGAUAUCUGGUGUGAUCUCAAAGAACUGUGAUGAAGCAGAAGACAAUGCUGCUAUGGCAGCCAUUAGGUUUAUGGAGGAUGUAUGUGGCAAGGAAAUCAGGGAUUAUCACUACAUCCAUGUUAAAAGGCUGGAAAAUAAGGUGACACACCUGGUAAGGUUGCUGGUUGCAGCAAACAAGACGAUAAAGAAGGCACACAGAGGAUGGUACUAUGCCGUCAGAUACAUGAGCUCGUAUUCUAACCAGAUAUAG
rnacentral:rRNA from 1 species